UACGUAGGGUGCAGGCGUUAAUCGGAAUUACUGGGCGUAAAGCGUGCGCAGGCGGUCUUUUAAGUCAGAUGUGAAAUCCCCGGGCUUAACCUGGGAACUGCGUUUGAAACUGAAAGGCUAGAGUGUGGCAGAGGGGGGUGGAAUUCCACGUGUAGCAGUGAGAUGCGUAGAGAUGUGGAGGAACACCGAUGGCGAAGGCAGCCCCCUGGGCUAACACUGACGCUCAUGCACGAAAGCGUGGGGAGCAAACAGG
rnacentral:rRNA from 1 species